UAGUAUUUAAAUGUUCGGCUUAACAGUAAAUAUUUCGUUAUUUUUAUCAAUAAAUAAAGGGUAAGAGGCAUCGACACAUCGGUAACAUGUUGGUUGGUACGUUACAUACAUACUCUGAUACAACGCCUAAACACUUAUCGACUUCACUUGCAAUCAUCUCCUUAUCUAAUAUGUUUCUAUUAUUUCAUUGUUAUACAGAUAACUGCUGCUUAUCCAUAUAACGCAUAACCGACAAAAGCAAAACAACGGAAAAGGAAGAGGAUGGCAUAUCAUUCGAUGUUGUGUUGCUAAGAAGAUUCAACAUUACGGUGUCUCCUUACAAAGCGUGAUCGGACCUUGUCGGACCUUUUAAUCGGCAAUGUGUGCAACGAAAGUGUCAAUUGGACCGUGACACUGGAAUAAGCCCGCUCCCUGAAGCUUUGAUGAAACUGGGCCAAGGUCAGCCGGCUUUUUCGGCCCUUCCGCAGCUUCUUCAGCCCGGAGUGAACGCUGCGAAGCGCCCGAACAUACAUGUUCUUCAAGUUCUCAAGUGGUUUUUACAAGAAUAUAUCUGCGCAUGAACAUCUUGGAAAUUUUAAAUAAUCUUAACGGAUGACAGAGGGAAUAAAAUCUUCGAAACUACGGAUUGAGAGAGCAACAAUCACACGUGCGCGCACAUACCUGUUACAUCCUGCACUCGGACGAGGAAGAUGAGCAAAACCACCGCAAUCAGCGUGGAAUGCGGCGGUGACGAGGAAAACGUGGACGCCG